AUGACGAGUGGCGAACGGGUGCGUAACGCGUAUACAACCUACCUCUUAUUAAGGAAUAGCUCAGAGAAAUUUGAAUUAAUACCUUAUAAUAUCUUAAAGCCGCAUGGUUUAAAGAUUAAAGAAUUUCGAUAAGAGAUGGGUAUGCGUGAUAUUAGCUAGUUGGUAAGGUAACGGCUUACCAAGGCAACGAUAUCUAGGGGGUCUGAGAGGAUGAUCCCCCACACUGGUACUGAGACACGGACCAGACUCCUACGGGAGGCAGCAGUGAGGAAUAUUGGACAAUGGGCGAAAGCCUGAUCCAGCCAUGCCGCGUGAAGGAUGAAUGCCCUAUGGGUUGUAAACUUCUUUUAUAUAGGAAGAAACCUUUGGAUUUAUCCAGAGCUGACAUUACUAUACGAAUAAGCAUCGGCUAACUCCGUGCCAGCAGCCGCGGUAAUACGGAGGAUGCAAGCGUUAUCCGGAUUUAUUGGGUUUAAAGGGUCCGUAGGCGGAAUUUUAAGUCAGUGGUGAAAGCCUGCAGCUCAACUGUAGAACUGCCAUUGAUACUGAAAUUCUUGAAUAUAUAUGAAGUGGGCGGAAUGCGUCAUGUAGCGGUGAAAUGCACAGAUAUGACGCAGAACACCAAUUGCGAAGGCAGCUCACUAAUGUAUUAUUGACGCUGAGGGACGAAAGCAUGGGGAGCGAACAGGAUUAGAU
rnacentral:rRNA from 1 species